UUCCCAAAGGAUGCAGUGAACGUUGUGUGGGGCCUCGAAAACUAAAAGUGGUAAAAACUGCUCUUUGAAGUUUACUACCAGGAUCUAAAGUCUUAACAGACCAAAUGGGAGGACAUGACCUUGAGUGGAGGACAGUGUCUCCCAUGAGGCAGGAGGGGAGAAGGCAGAGCCUCCGAGACUGUGCACGAUGGAAGAGACGUAACUGAAAAGGAUAUCA